GACGUAGGGGGCGAGCGUUGUCCGGAUUUAUUGGGCGUAAAGCGCGCGCAGGCGGCCCGGUAAGUCGGAUGUGAAAACCCGGGGCUCAACCCCGGGCCUGCAUUCGAUACUGUCGGGCUCGAGGCAGGUAGGGGAGAUCGGAAUUCCCGGUGUAGCGGUGAAAUGCGCAGAUAUCGGGAGGAACACCGGUGGCGAAGGCGGAUCUCUGGGCCUGUCCUGACGCUCAGGCGCGAAAGCUGGGGGAGCGAACAGGAUUAGAAACCCCCGUAGUCC
rnacentral:rRNA from 1 species